AGCUGAUCCCAUACACUGCUGCGAGUGUGAAGUGAGAAGGCCUGGGAGGAGACAAAAGAUUCAUAAAUCUGUAAUCCUCGGAGAAAUUACCGGGGGGGAAAAUAGGUCAGUGUACAUACAUGUACUCCCCUUUAAAUAACAGUUGUACCACGUCUGUUGCAGAAUUCCCAGAUCUUGUACCUCUGUGUGGACAUUAAGGCACAUCCAAAGCUGUCAGCACCACGCUGAGCUCCCCAAAGCACGGACCUCCCCUGCUCCCGCCUGUCCAAUACAGCAUCCCGCUGCCUGGUACCCUUGCUGGACUACUUAGCAGAGGGAACAUAGCUCUGUAGGAGACGACCAGUGAAAACAAGAAAGGCCACUCUGACAAAGACUCCAUUAACUGAAGUCUGUAUGCAUUAGCAGGAUUUUCAUCACUCUUCAUUUGUCCCAAGAUAAAUUAAAAAUGUGAACACUGUGGUGACAUUCCACUCCAGCCACACGCUACCAUAAAAGAGGAGACCAAUACUAUCUCUUUCCUCCAGUGCAAGAGGGACACGGAGCUGUAGGAGCAGGUCCAGAGGAGGGCCAUGAAGAGGAUAAUCAAAGGACUGGAGCACCUCUCCUAUGAAGAAAGGCUCAGGGAGUUGGGCUUGUUUAGCUUGGAGAUGAGAAGGCUCCACAGAGACCUCAUUGCAGCAUUCCAGUACUUGAGGGGAGGUUACAAGCAGGAGAAGGACUGAUUUUUUUUUUUUACACAGUCUGAUAGUGACAGGACAAGCAGGAAUAGCUUUAAGCUAAAAGAGGAGGGGUUUAGAAGAAAUUAUUUACUUGUGAGUAAUACAAUACAUGUCUGGUGCUGGCACAGGUUGCCCAGAGAAGCUGUGGGUGCCCCAUCCCUUGAGGGGCUCAAGGCCAGGUUGGAUGGGCCCUGGACAGCCUGAGCUGGUGGGGGGAAGCCCUGCAGGGCUUGGGACUGGAUGAUCUUUAAGUCUUUUCCGAUCUAAAUCAUUUUAUGAUUAUGAUCUCUCCUACCACCAAUGCCUGUCAACAUUCACCUUGAAACGUGGUCACAUUUUGAUGGAUAAGCCAAUAGACAGAUCUUCGGACAGGUUCCUUCAAGUUCACAAAUGCUCAAGGUAGCAGAGCAUCUCAGGUUGCUCUCAUGUACCCCUAACAAACACAAGCAAUUUUAUGAGAACACUAAUCCUUCUUUCUCAGAGACCCUGCAUUACGUCGCUCUUUCACUUCCCUUUGAUACCAUUUGAGAUAAAUACUCUGUAUUCAUGUAGCAGCAAGAGAUCUUUACCCUUUGACAAGUCUUUUUCCAUCAAUACAAUCUCCAAAUUAUUCUCAUUUGAUGCUCAGAUGCAUUACCUUAAAUAGGCUUACGUGGCAGAACUUGGAAGAAUAACAGAAGAUACCGACUACUUACGUAUAUAGAUAUAUCUAUCUAUAUACACACACACACAAAUCAACAACAGAAAUCAUGUCAUUAAUAAAAAAUAGGGAUUUCAAUAUUGUAAGUAUGCAAAUAACUGGAGCUUAAAUCUUUCCAGAAAAACAAGAAUAAAGGUCACUUG
ensembl:lncRNA